CAGCAUCCCUCUCCUGCCUCUUAGAAUCCAGGUGCCCAAGGAAAUCCUUAGGCAGAGGUUUUGGGUUAGAUGAUAAAAGCAAGGGAUGAAAACAGAAAAUCUGGGAGAUGUCUCACCAGUUUUACCACAGCCCCGUAAGAGUUGUGUCUAGCUCACUGUUUGGUACUGCGUCAGAGGCAUUGUAUGCAAGAAUCAAGAAAAUUAAGAGGAAGGAUGUUGAAUGCCAGGCGUUCUUUAGGAAGGUUGUAAAGAGCCCCAUUUUCCAGGUCAUCAUGAUCAGCACCAUCACCUCCAACGCGGCCUUCAUGGUCUUGGGAACUGAUUACAGCAUAAUGUACAGACUCUUCAGACUCUUUGAGGUCUCAGAGAUUAUCUUUGUCUCCAUCUAUACCUGUGAGUUCCUCAUGAAGGUCUAUGUGGAGCCCAUUAAAUACUGGAGGGAUGGCUAUAACAUACUGGAUGUGGUCAUUAUCUUUAUUAUCUUGAUACCCUAUGCCCUCCGCAAGAUCAAGGGAAGACAUUACAAAUUCCUCCAUAUUGCUGAUGGUAUACAGUCUCUGCGAAUCCUCAAGCUUAUCUCCUACAGCAGAGGCAUCAGGACCCUCAUCACUGCUGUGGGGCAGACAGUCUACACGGUGGCCUCGGUGCUGACCCUCCUCUUCGUGCUCAUGUACAUCUUCGCUAUCCUGGGAUUCUGCCUGUUUGGAAUGCCAGAGAAGGGCGACCUGAAUAACUGGGGGAACCUGGCUGCGGCUUUCUUCACUCUCUUCAGUCUGGCUACGGUUGAUGGCUGGACAGACCUGCAGGAACAGCUGGACCAGCGGAAGUUUACUGUGAGCCGGGCAUUCACCAUCCUCUUCAUCUUGCUUGCUUCCUUCAUCUUCCUCAACAUGUUUGUGGGUGUAAUGAUCAUGCACACAGAGGACUCCAUCAAAAAGUUUCAGCGGGAGCUGAUGGUAGAGAGGCAUGUGACACUUAUGGAGGAGAAGCAGAUGAUUCUGAGGCGCCAGCAAGAGGAGGUCAACAAGCUGGUGAACAUGCAGGAAAGCGGUGGCAAGAGCUUCACUGAGAUGGUGGAGGAAUUCAAGAAGACCCUGCGGCACACGGACCCCAUGGUCCUGGAUGAAUUUGGCACUAGCCUGCCCUUCAUCGAUGUCUACUUGUCCACUCUGGAUAACCAGGACACUACUAUCAACAAGACGUGGUCGGAACAGUGAGCACGUGGGAAGGAGAAAUGGCUGGUGAGGGUGUGACACUGGGCCCUACCCCGGAGAACCCGUGGGCUAGUGCGUGCCAUCCAGCCAUCAUCUGAGUGGAAGGACUUUGUGCUGAUGCCGAGGCAUGGGCCUGAGGUGGCAAAGCUGAGAUUCCAAGAGGUGAUACAAAGGAUUGUCCAAGAGAGGAGGAAGAACAGAGCUUCAACCCAGCCUGCCUGGCUCCUCAGCCACUCUGCACGCAGCAGCCUCCACAGGAAUCCUUUGUCCUGUUUUAUAGGUGGGCAAGCUGGCACUAAGUGAGACCCAGGCAGCCAAGAUCAGCAUCCAGUCAGUAUCUGAACACAGGCCACACACGCACCCCUUUGUUCUGUUGGAUCACAGUGACCUUUUUCUUUCUCGUUAAAACUAUUUCUUGAACUUUAAAAAUCAAGCCAUGAUCCCUUCUGAGUAGGCCUGCCUGGCUGGGAGGGAGGGGGCUCACACAGGCCUGGUCUGGCUAGUUCCUUGGCCCCUUCUCAGUGCCUGGUGGAGCCCUCUGAAGUCCGGUUGGUCCUGGAGCCCCAGGAACCCUAGGGAGUGAGAGGCCGCAGGAAGCAAUCAGCGUGUGUGGAGAGGGUGGUGACUGUGGUGCCUAAUCAGGAAAUUACAGCCCAGGCAGAGAGGGUUUGGCCUCCACGGUGCCUUUCCCUGGACUUGAGUACAGCAGAACCACACGGAGGCUUGGCUGUGUCCAAGUGGGCGUGUUGAGCAGGCACCAGUGGUCCAGCGAGCAGGGCCAGCCUCCCUGGAGGGGUAACCGAUGAGAGCUCGCUGGUGGGUGGGAGCUGUGGCACCUGGACGAGGCACCUUGAAAAGCUGCUGAAGCUUGGUUGGAGUGCCCCCCCCCCACUAUUGCCAGGAAAGGAGAGAAAUAAUUAUCAGGUGUGAAAAGCCUGUGGAACUGUGUAUACACCAUGCAUGACACAACACUAUCACACACACACACACACACACACACACACACACACACACACACACACACACACACACUGUUGAUGAGUUUCCCACCCCCUAGGUAACAGAAAUGAUAGAUGUAAUCCAGUGGUGGCCUGGGUUUGAAGAAUGGGUCCCCUUUGUCCACAUCUGGCAGAACAGAUAGAUAGGUGUGGCCUCAUCAUAAGGCAAUGUGGGUUGGCUUUGAUACAUGCAUUUUCUAAGGAGCCCAGUGAUGAGGGAAGGAGAUGCUUGAAUGGGCAUCCUUGUGACUGUGCAACAGAAGGGAAUGAGAAAUCACCUCACACUCAUGGUGAGAAAACGGACUGAGUUACUACUGUUCGUCCAUACACAUGGAAAACGGACUGAGUUACUGUGCAUCCAUACACGUGGCCGUUAGAAGAGUUUGUUGAUAAAAGAUCAUCUUGGCAUUUAACUGGAAGCGUAAUCAUGGAAAUCAGCAUUUGGGGGCAAUUGUUGCUUUUGCCCCAUCCCAAUCUAAAACUUUUUGAGUGUUAAGAAUUAAUAGGUAUUUUAUGAUCAGAAAAAGUACAGAGUUUUUAUUCUGAAAAAAAUAUGUUAAAUGACAUGCACAUGUGCGCUUAUGUGUGCACUUGAGGUUGCAUGCACAUCUGUGAUAGGCGAGGGUAUUUCAGACAGAAGGGAAAGAGUAUGCAGAGACCUGAGGUGUUGGUGAGGCCACACGCUGCUUACAGGAUGAGGGGCCCUGUAAGCAAAUGGGGAGAGCAGAUUGCAUAGGACCCCGAGAGUCUUGGGUGUCUGUAGCAGGGCAGUGGCCUGGAGGUAGCUGUGUUCAAGGUUGGCACCUGGCAUUUUAGGCUCUCCAGGAAUUCCCUGUGCCUCGUUCAGACUUACCUCAGCUGCACACUUGUUCCCACACCUGCCUGUCCACACCACACCCCCUCUUAUAUGAAGCCUUCUCAGAUCACUCCUGCUAUCCUUGGACUUCUUCUGCUGCCAGUUUACCCUCAACUUUUCCUGUUUUUCCUUAAUCCUUCUCCAUGUGACAUUUCUCCUAGCAUUAGCUGGGGACAGAUGUGGUCUAUGAGGUUGGGCCCUGACGUAUACCAGCUUUAGAACCCUGACAGAGGGAGGGAGAACAUGGACAGCAAACAUCCCAUGCUCAUUUUGAGCCUUGCGAUGUCAUAGAUGUGAUUACAGAUGUGGACACAGGGACUCCAUCCAUAGGUUCCAUGGCGGUGAAUACUAUCGCCACCAUGCUGUGAGUUGUACUCAGGCUCAGCAUGGCUCCCAAGUGUGCUCUCAGUGCCUCUGACUGUUCUGUCUUUGGCUCUCACCCCCAGGUGCUGGUUGAGGGGAGCGGCAAGGUGGGGCCACCUUGUGCACUAUUUGCUCAGUAUUCAGUGAUCUCAGAGAAGGGAGGGGAUUCCAACUCACCUAGGAGGAACUCUGGGCCUCAGGAGAGUCCAGGGCAGGGCGGCAUCUCUGUCACAUCCUUAGAUGGUACAAGGAAAAAGUGUGCUGGAGUCUGGCCUGGAGGGAGGCUGGACACACUGAGCAUGAAAGAGCAUCAUAUGGGCUCAAGCUCUAGCUCCAUGGGAGAGUGAUUGCCUAGCAUGUUCCAGACCCUGGGUUUGAUCCCAGCACCAUGGAGGGAAGGGAGGGGAAAUAGGGAAGGAUUCCUCACUCAGCAGUUCUCCAGAGGUAGGAGGUGAUGAGGAUGAUGAAUUUUGUACAUUUGACUCAGCAGCUCCCUUACAAGCCAUGCGUACUGGUCACAUCCAGGAGCAGAACACCCUGACAGGAGCUCCAGGAAGCAGCAGGCAGGUCCGGUGCCUGCCCUAGAGUGGGAAACUGCAGCGCUGUGAGAGAACCAAGGGUUUACUGUUCCGGUGACCUAACAGAAAGGACUUGGCAAGCUCUCCAAGAAAUGACAGCUGCUGAGUGGCUGGAAUCUGGGUUUCUGUUCCCACCCCCAAGGCUUCCCAGAUUCCUCAUCAGUCCUGACUAAGUGGGUAUCCAUCCCUGCCUCGAGGGGCUGGGGUAGUCUUGGGAACCUGGUGGGCUGUGGGGGUGCUGCAUCAGCCCCAUCUGGGCUCUGGACUAUGGGAGAGCCAAGAAGCUCAGAAGCAGCCUGGCACUCACCAUGGGUUGGUGACCAUCUUCUCAGCAGCCCUAGUGGCUCAACAGGACUGCCAGCCCGAGGUGGGGGGACCCUUGGCCAUACUCUCAGGGGGUUGCCCUUUACUGUGUGCACCUCUAUGAGCGCGUGUGUGCAUGAAAUUUACUGUGUGUGCCUCUAUGAGCAUGUGUGUGCAUGAAAAGGCUUCAGUGGGAUGAACAUUUCUAUUAUGCCCUGGAAAGUUCCCAGAGAGACCACAGGCAGGCAGUCUGAGGAAACCCUGGCGGGCCUGUCAGAACCUGGCAGGCAGAGAGAUGGCCAGGCGCUCUGAGGCUGCAGUGGCAGGCUUGCCAAGCACUUUCCAUGAGGCCACUGGGAUGUUAAACGCUUGGAUCAAUUAAAUGGGUUAAUAAGCUUUGUUUGACUAUGAUGGCUAAUGAUAUUAUAAUGUGAUAACAGCAAUAAUGACGCUGUUAGCUGCGACCAUCAGUGUGCCGCACUGUCCCAGGCACGGAGGGAAGCACAGCACACCCCCCUGCUCGGGCCCCAUUUUCCACUCAUAAAACCCCAUUCUUCAAAGCUGUUCCAAUCCAACUCCCUGUAUCCAUUUUCAGAACAAAUUACCAACACUUAAAAAAAUUGGUCCAUUUUGCAUGGAUGCCAAGCUCAAAUGACUAUUACUUCCCCCCUGUGUUUGAGAUGUAAAAGGGGGUAGGGACAGGGGCAGAAGGGGACCUGGGAUGGUGGAGAGGAAAAGCAGGCGAGGGGGAACACAGGAGUGGAGCGUGAAGGAAGAAGGGGAAGCGAGUUUCUCAGUUCAGUAAAAAUGUAUUUCUGGAAUAUUUCAAUUCAGUUUACUUGGGCAGAAAAAUUAGGAAUGGUGGACUUAUUAAGCGGAGGAAGCGCAGCUAUUUUUAGUAGGGUUGUAAAACCUUGGUAAUUUGGACCUCUUUCAUAAGGAUUCCGUGAUCAUGCCAGCAGGCAGGCAGGCAGGCUGUGUGUGUGUGUGCACACGCGAGUGCAUGUGUGUAGGCAGGUAGGGCUACCUAGGUGGCUGAGUUGGGAGGACAGAGGUGACCCUGAGGAACAAAAAGUGGGGAGAGAUGGACCCCAGCUCAGCAACUGGUCAAUACAAACGAUUCUUUCUCAACACGCUUACUGGAACCUACUCAUUUUUGUUUAAAGAAGGCUGUAUUAGAAAACAAAAAUGUGCUUUCUGCAAAAAAAACCAUUCAUAUAGAUUUACUUGACAAUUAUCACGCUACACUGUUCUGCCCGAAAUGGGGAAGAAUCCCAAGGCACUCAGUAUAUUUCAUUUUAUUAUGUUUUGAGACAAAGUCUCACUGUGUAGCCUUGGCUGGCCUGGAACUCUAUGUGGAAGAGGCUGGCCUUGAACUCACAGAGAUCCACCUGCUUCUACCUCCUGAGUGCUGAGAUUCAAUGUGUGAGCUGCCAUGUCCAGCAUUGGUAGUUCUAGGUAGGUGUCUUGGGCUGAGGACAUGGACACUGGGCAGAAGUCCUUCAGCUUUAGUCUGUGGAUUAUAGGUUUUUCCAUUCUAAAAAAUAUUUAUUGCUUUAUUUCAGUGUUAUAAAAGUAUUAUAUGUGUGAAAAGGAAAAACUUAAGAAAAUGAGAAAAACUUCUUUCUCAGUUUCCAAAAGUAGCUAGUGUUAAGUUUCCUGAGAUUCCUCUAUGCGUAUAACAAUAGAAAUUGUUGCAUGAAUCCUAAAUGUUCUUACAAUAAAAACCCGGAGCCAGAUAUUGGGGUAAAUGCUGAAAGAUCAGAAGAAACAAGCCACGGCCACUUCUCACCUUGCCAACU